UUUGUAAAAUUAUUACAAUAGGUUUAAUCAUGUUAUGAUUUGCCUUGGCAAAAAAGAUAAAAACAAGGCAAAGCAGAUAAGAGAAGGUUCGAAGAUAAAUACUAUCUAAGAAGCCAAUGCUGCAUUAGUCCACAGCUGUGUCUUUGAUUCCUUUUGGACAGAAUAGCAUCCCUUAUAAAGCGGUCGAGUCUCUUGAAGAUUACCGCCGCCGGAGUGGAGAUGCUAUCGUGAUAACGCUUGUUGCGCUCAGACCAGAUUGAGUAGAUAGUUGCUGAAGCCACCAAACGUUUGAGCAGCAUUGGUGCGACUCUGUCUCGUAACAUUAGCCAUUCCGAGAAGGCUAACCAUGUAUGGAACCCCGCAUUAGUGUAACCCAGUCUUCCUAGCGCGAGUCUCCAAAGAUCCAUGCUCCAUUCACAACGAAGAAACAGAUGGUCCCUGGCUUCGAGGAAUGUGUUACAUAGGCAACAAGAUGUGCGUAUGUCCGCGCCCCAACGAGCCUUCUUGUUACUAAUCUGAGAACAAAAUCAACAUCUUUUGUUUUUCUAUUACAAACCCCAACAUGAUGGAUUCUAAAAAAGAAGAGAGAAAAAGUUCGCAAAUCACAAGCUGAAGAUGCCUCUCUUACCAAGAUUAAUCCAAAGAAGAAAAAGUAAAAACUUUGCAAAUCACAAGUUAUCCCAAGUCCAUCUCUCACAGAGAUUGAUUUGGUAGAAGCGAUGAAGAAGCAGAACGACGUAUCUAUGUUCCUUGCUGGGAAAGUAAUCUCCACCCUAGCAAGAAACUCUAACUUGGUCUUUUCUCCAGCAUCAGUGAACGCAGUGCUCACCAUGGAGGCUGCCACCUCCCAAUCCGACAGCGUCAAAAAAGAAAUCAUGACCUUCCUCAAAUCUGCCUCCAUCGAUGAGCUCAACGCUGUAUUCCUAGAGAUCACUCCCAGACGGCAGCAUGACCGGUGGCCCCAAAAUUGCCACGGUUAAUGGAGUCUGGAUUGAGAAAUCACGCGGGUUUAGUCGCUCUUGUAAGGAUCUCCUGGUGAAUUUCUUCAAGGCUGAGUAUGCUCAAGUUGAUUUCCGAUCCAAGGUAAUCCUUUAUAUAUACUAAAGCACAAGUCACCUUACCAAUCAGAUUUUGACACAUGGAUUUAUAUUUUAAAAAUUAAAAAAUAUUUAAAACAAUAAAAUCAUUAUUGAAAAAAAUAAAUGGCAAGCACGAUCUCCACAACUAAAUUAUGUGUUUGUUUCCUAAAUUUACUGUAAAAAGUACUUGCUCAUCCAUUUCUCUCCAACAACUCCACGAUCACCAAUUAUCAAUCUCCAGAUUCCAGUUAUUCAUCCAUCGUUUAUAUUUGCCAUCUUAUUGAUCCACACGCAAAAAGAAAGACAAAACACACUUUCUCUACUACUCAAAUUCACAAAUAUUGUGUUUAUAUUCAACGUUUUAUCUUCCACGCAAACAUAUAUUUUUUCUUACUCAGUCUCUCAUGAUCUUACUCUUUUAUAUGCAGUGUCUGUAUAUUAAGCCUCGCUCUCUCACAUGCAAGGUUUCCCUUCGAAGAACUCAGCCUCAGAAUUAGGAAAGCUUUGGCUGUUCUAUAGUGGCUCGUUGGUUUAAGGCGGAGGCUCUGCUUGAGGGCGGUGGAGCAGACAACCGAUUCCGCAAGUCAAUCAUCGGGAUCCCUAAAGUUUGUCUCGAUUGUUGAGAGGUGCUCGUUUGACGGCGGAUCUAUCCAUAGAGAUGGCGGUUCUCCCGGUGACGACUGUUCGGACUUGUGAGAAGGUGGAGACCCUUCGCAAUCAACGGCGGAAGAGUUCGAGAGUCGGGUGUUCUUUAUGGCUCUGGUGUUAUGUGGCAGCGGGGCCCCUUUGAGAUGGCUUAGCUUUGAAGGUACACCGGUGAAGGUUCUAUUAGCUGGCACGGACACUCUGCUAUAGUGAUGUCCCGGAUAAAAUGAUAUGCUGGCAGCGGUGUCUGUCGCAGGUGGCGGCUCCGCCUCCUUCGUCUUCUUUCCCACAUCUCCUCUAGUUCGCUUUAGAUUUGUGUGUUUAAUUAGGUGUGUUUCUUCUUUUUUCCAUGUAACCUAGCAAUUUCCGUUUCAUCGGAGCUCCGGUCUAUUUAUGUUCAGAUUUCCCCCUAGGGGCUUGAUAUAUAUUUAAGAGAAAGUGGAGUUUUUUUUUAUUUU